CAGGGACGGAGGAGCCUGGCGGGCUUCUGUCUAUGGGAUCGCACAGAGUUGGACACGACUAAAGCGACUUAGCAGCAGCAGAGGACUGUUAAGCAUACCUUUAGUAAAUAUUUGAAAGGAGGGAUUUCCCAAGAGUGGUGUUACUGCAGCCUCUUAGAGUGACGAAGGAAGAAGUACACACAGACACACCACACACUUUAUCUCUGGACCAAAACAUCGGAUUGAAGUGGAUGUGGAAACAAUAUCUAGAAUUCAGCACAGGAGGCAGUUUUAAACUUCUUGACUUUAUUAAAUUAUUUUU